UAACAAGGAUUCCCCUAGUAACUGCGAGUGAAGCGGGAAAAGCUCAAAUUUAAAAUCUGGCGGUCUUUGGCCGUCCGAGUUGUAGUCUGGAGAAGUGCUUUCCGCGCUGGACCGUGUAUAAGUCUCUUGGAACAGAGCGUCAUAGAGGGUGAGAAUCCCGUCUUUGACACGGACUACCAGUGCUUUGUGAUGCGCUCUCAAAGAGUCGAGUUGUUUGGGAAUGCAGCUCAAAAUGGGUGGUGAAUUCCAUCUAAAGCUAAAUAUUGGCGAGAGACCGAUAGCGAACAAGUACCGUGAGGGAAAGAUGAAAAGCACUUUGGAAAGAGAGUUAAACAGUACGUGAAAUUGCUGAAAGGGAAACGCUUGAAGUCAGUCGCGUCGUCCGGAACUCAGCCUUGCUUUUGCUUGGUGCACUUUCCGGUUGACGGGCCAGCAUCGAUUUUGACCGUCGGAAAAGGGCUAGAGUAAUGUGGCACCUCCGGGUGUGUUAUAGACUCUAGUCGCAUACGGCGGUUGGGAUCGAGGAACGCAGCGCGCCGCAAGGCAGGGGUUCGCCCACUUUCGCGCUUAGGAUGCUGGCAUAAUGGCUUUAAACGAC
rnacentral:rRNA from 1 species